UACGUAGGGACCGAGCGUUGUCCGGAAUCAUUGGGCGUAAAGAGCGUGUAGGCGGCCACUUAAGUCCUGCGUGAAAUCUUGCGGCUCAACCGCAAGCGGUCGUGGGAAACUGGGUGGCUAGAGUGCGGGAGAGGAGAGUGGAAUUCCUGGUGUAGCGGUGGAAUGCGCAGAUAUCAAGCGGAACACCGGUGGCGGAAGGCGGCCUUCUGGACAGUGACUGACGCUGAGACGCGAAAAGCGUGGGGGAGCAAACAGG
rnacentral:rRNA from 1 species